CUGGCUCAGAACGAACGCUGGCGGCAGGUCUUAGGCAUGCAAGUCGAACGGAUGACAAGGGAGCUUGCUUCCUGAAGUCAGUGGCGCACGAGUGAGUAACGCGUGGGAAACUGCCCUUCACUGGGGAAUAACGUUUGGAAACGAACGCUAAUACCGCAUACGCCCGCAAGGGGGAAAGAUUUAUCGGUGAUGGAUGUGCCCGCGUUGGAUUAGCUAGUUGGUGGGGUAAUGGCCUACCAAGGCGAUGAUCCAUAGCUGGUCUGAGAGGACGAUCAGCCACGCUGGAACUGAGACACGGUCCAGACUCCUACGGGAGGCAGCAGCUAAGAAUAUUGGGCAAUGGAGGAAACUCUGACCCAGCCCAUGCCGCGUGAAUGAAGAAGGCCUUCGGGUUGUAAAGUUCUUUUAGUCAUGAAGAUGAUGACAGUAGUGACAGAAAAAGCACCGGCUAACUUCGUGCCAGCAGCCGC
rnacentral:rRNA from 1 species